rnacentral:rRNA from 1 species
AAACCGUUCAGGGGUAAACCUGAGAAACCCAAAAGAUUGAAUGGGGAGAUUCAUCGUCGACGGCGCCGGUUCCCGUUGAUGAGCGAUGCUCCGGGUGGGCCUUCGGGAGCUCCACUAGCGAGGGCACGCCAUCCUCGGUGUCGAACGCACCGGUGUCGUAGUCGUGCACUUCUCCCCUAGUAGAACGUCGCGACCCGUUGUGUGUCGGUCUACGGCCCGAGCGGGCGCCUGUCGCGUCGCUUCGGCGCACGCGGCAGACCCUCGGUCGCCCGGCCGACCGCACGACGGUACACGCACGGUAUCGGGCCGCAACCAAUCCAUUCUCGAAUGUGUGUGCGUCUAGACCGCCGCAAGCUUCGCCCUUACUCCGUAGUCUCGGACUUUGUUUCCGUGCUCGGGUAUGGGCAGCUGUUAGCAGCGCGGAUAUCUUGGACUGGCCGAGUCUCGAAUUACCGGUCGGCGACGCUAUUGCUUUGGGUACUCUCAGGACCCGUCUUGAAACACGGACCAAGGAGUCUAACAUGUGCGCGAGUCAUUGGGACAUUGAAACCUAAAGGCGAAAUGAAAGUGAAAAUCGGCGUUCGCGUCGAUGGAGGGAGGAUGGGCCGCGCAACUAUGCGGCCUCGCACUCCCGGGGCGUCUCGUUCUCAUUGCGAGGAGAGGCGCACCUAGAGCGUACACGUUGGGACCCGAAAGAUGGUGAACUAUGCCUGGUCAGGACGAAGUCAGGGGAAACCCUGAUGGAGGUCCGUAGCGAUUCUGACGUGCAAAUCGAUCGUCGGAACUGGGUAUAGGGGCGAAAGACUAAUCGAA